CCACCCUGCGUCUUAGGGAGUGAUCGAGAGCAGCGCCCAGCGAAUCGUGAACCUGGCGAACCAGUGGGAGCAGCGCCGCGUCCCCCUCAUCGAUGAGCAGCGGCACCUAAAGGAGCUUCUCGCCAACCAUGAGCUGGAGUCAUCUCGCAAGCUGGAGGAGAUUAAAGCGACGCACGAAAAAAUCAAGCAGUUGGCGGAGGACAUGAAGAGCAAGGAAGCUGUCUACAAGCAGAUGCUGAAGGAGUACGAGAGCCUCCCGAAGGAAGUGACUCGCUCCGCGUACACCCACCGGAUCCUCGAGAUCGUAAGCAACAUCAAGAAACAGAAGGAGGAGAUCACAAAGGUCGGUUGGUUAACUCUGCCCC